CGUAAAGGGAGCGCAGGCGGUGAUUUAAGUCUGAUGUGAAAGCCUACGGCUCAACCGUGGAAGGUCAUUGGAAACUGGAUCACUUGAAUAUAGAAGAGGAAAGUGGAAUUCCAUGUGUAGCGGUGAAAUGCGUAGAUAUAUGGAGGAACACCAGUGGCGAAGGCGACUUUCUGGUCUAUUAUUGACGCUGAGGCUCGAAAGCAUGGGUAGCAAACAGGAUUAGAUACCCUGGUAGUCCAUGCCGUAAACGAUGAGUGCUAGGUGUUGGGGGGCUUCCACCCCUCGGUGCCGAAGUUAACGCAUUAAGCACUCCGCCUGGGGAGUACGGCCGCAAGGCUUAAACUCAAAGGAAUUGACGGGGACCCGCACAAGCGGUGGAGCAUGUGGUUUAAUUCGAAGCAACGCGAAGAACCUUACCAGCUCUUGACAUCUUCUGCCAACUCUAGAGAUAGAGUGUUCCCUUCGGGGACAGAAUGACAGGUGGUGCAUGGUUGUCGUCAGCUCGUGUCGUGAGAUGUUGGGUUAAGUCCCGUAACGAGCGCAACCCUUGUUGCCAGUUGCCAGCAUUUAGUUGGGCACUCUGGCGAGACUGCCGGUGACAAAUCCGGAGGAAGUGUGGGGAUGACGUCAAAUCAGCAUGCCCCUUAUGAGCUGGGCUACACACGUGCUACAAUGGAUGGUACAGCGAGUCGCUAAACCGCGAGGUCAAGCUAAUCUCCUAAAGCCAUUCUCAGUCCGGAUUGCAGGCUGCAACUCGCCUGCAUGAAGCCGGAAUCGCUAGUAA
rnacentral:rRNA from 1 species